UUGCCCCCCCUCCCCUUUAGUUCCUGUAAGCCUUCGGACCCAGCAGGUGAGAGCCUGGAUUUAAAAGUAUGCCCAAAAUGUAGCCAAUUUUACUGAUUCUAAGCCAAUUUGAAUGCAGGGAAACCCCCCGAUUGACUCGGAUAACGUUAAGGAAGUUGAGUUUGAAGUUUAUUGUAUCCACGGCGUGUGAGGUUUCUCAGUUCCAGGCUUUGCGGGCUUAGCGUGUUCCCAAAACAGGAGAUAAUAAAAACUUUCAUUACAGAAGAGAAGCAGAAAUAAUCCUUAGAAAGAAAAAGAAAAAAAAAAAGGGGGGAACCCCUGAAUUAAACGCUUCCCGUUUUAAAUCUUUCUCCCUGCUUUGCGUUUGAACCCACAAACCGCCUGUAAUGGAGAAGUGCUCUUCUUUCCUUGUGUUAGGGCCAAAAAACCCACCCUUUCAAUCGACUGACUGUCGUUUCUGUUGCUAAUUUAUAUUUUGUUGUAUUUCUACACUACUUGUGUUAUCAUACAAGGAAAAAAAAAAACCUAAAGCUCUGUACUCGUAAUAUAACUCGCCUAAUGCGCAUGUAUGUCCAAUACAAGAGCCGUCACGCAGUAUUAACCCAUCAGAACCCGGAGGUGGCUGGACUCACUACCAGAAGCUUAAUUCUUCUUUUUUUUUUUUUAUCAGUAUUAUGUAACAUAUCACAGAUUUAUUUUAUUUAAGAAAAAAAAAAAAUAUUUAUACUGUUAACAGAUUAUAUAUUAAUGUGGCUGAAACAUGCUAGUUAUUUUAUUAACCAAAUUAUUUAUGUUACGUAAAGUGAAAAUGUGAAACAAAAAAAAAACCACAAAAACACUAAAAAAUAAAUAUUGAGCCUACAACAUUGUAAUUGCAGCAAAAUAUUAAAUCUCCCGAUCUGUAUGUAUAUAUAUAUAUGUAUUUGAUAAGAGGAGGGUAUAUAUAUAUAUAUGUAUAUACACGGACGUGAUGUAGUUCUAUCCUGACUUUCCAAACCCGGUGGAUGGCGUCAAGCGGCACGGAGCUACGGUGGCCUGGAGUCGACAAACCCGUUGUCUUUGUUUCGGUUCAUUUCCAAAUCAAGCAUGUGGACAUCUCAACACGGUCUCCCCAUAAAACCUUUUUGUCAAGCGAUUCCCGUGUUCAGCAUACACUUUUUUUCCGUGUGUGUGUGCGUGUGUUACUUUUAAACUCGUUAUUAAUGUUACCCAUAUUUCGUACUAGCCUGCUUUUUAUGCUGUUUUUGUCCACAGCGAUGUUAUCCAUAAAGAUAUGUAUGUGAACUUGA